rnacentral:lncRNA from 1 species
AGAAAAUUGAAAGAAGAUCUGCAUCUCACUGCAGGAGUCAUUAAAAUAAAAGCAGAUUUGGCAAAAUGGCAAGCAGCAACAAAUACUGUGUAUACAUGGAAUGCUUACUCUGCACCAGGCACGAUGCUAAUGUGCUCUGCAUACAUUAUCUUUUUGAUUCUACAACAACCCAAUGGAGGAAGACUUCUCACAAACAGUUUAAGGAUGAGGAAAUGAAGGCACAGAGCAGUUAUUCAACUUGUCUAAGGCUACACGGCUACUAAGAAUCAAUGCCAGAAUGUACCUCCAGUUUUAUAGGUUUUGGCCACCAUGUGACGACUCCUUCCCUCUUUUGACGGAUAUCCAGAGAGCACCUUGGGCAGUCACUUGACUCGUAUGACCACCCCUCCCAGUUUUGGACCAUCAGAGCUGUUGUCAGAAUGUCUUCACAGGAGUCUCCCAACCUUCUGUUUUUCCUUUGAACUUUGAAAAUCUACCUCCAAAUAUUGCAAGCCCAUGUCUAACUGAGCUAAUGAUAUUCCUCCAUUUUCCCAAAAGCUUAAGCUGCCACUGUCUUUUAGUUGCUAUUUCCUUAACUAACUAGUUUGUUGUGAUGGAUCAAAAUUAAGGGCUUUUGAUAAGAAGGACAGUUAUAUUUUUUCAAACUUCUGGGAGAUGAAGCCACAUGAAGAAUUUAUUGCAUUUUUGUUCUUAGCUGACCUUACCCUGAUUUUACCACAUAAUAAAAUGCUUUGAGUCCUGCAUUCUGCUGGUUACUUUGGGUUUUGUUUGUUUGUUCAUUGUUAACCACAACUGAACUUUAAGUCUGGGAAUAGUUUCCAAGUUUCUGGAAAUAGUCAGUAAGUGGCUCUGCCGUCCUUCUGAUGUUGCUAUAGAUCAAUUUUAAAGAGAAACCCAACCUCAAAAUCUUCUUUGAUUCCUCUAUCUCACUUGUUUCUCCCUCCUCCAUAUUCAAUUAAUGACUCUUCUCUUUGCAAAAUAUCUCUUACUUCCCACUUUUAUAACCAUUUUUACCACAGUAAAUAAAACAAGUUCAGG